AAUGACCAAAUUCAUACCUAUGUUAUUUUGUUGGAAAGUUUAGAAUUAAUUUAAUUAACAACAAAUUCUUUUCAAUGAAUUAAUUAUUAGGGUUCACAACUAAAGCAAGCCCAAGCCCAAUGUAAUGUCCAUGUAACUAGGGUUUUAGCAAAUUAGAAAAUUCAUAUAUAUAGUUAUUUAAUGAGAAUUAUGAUUGUAACUUUGAGAGUUGGAAACAACUCUCCUCCUUCAUCUUAUAAAAUAUCAAUUUAAAAUCGUUUUGUUAUUGGUGACAAGCCUAAAGCUCCUUCCAUUCUCUGUUCUUUACAUUGAUCUUGGUCUUGCUUUAGUUGUAAUCAACUUACGACGAAUUAAACAUGUGUUUUUGUAUUGAGAAAGCUACAUCUAAACUAAAAUUCACAGAAAAAACUGUAUUGAAAAACUAACUUAGAUUGGUCGUUUUAACAAGCAAAGACAUCAAGGUUGUAAGGAAAGCAUGGAGGAUGACUGUUCAAUGUGUCAUCCAAUAUCCUCUUUGCCUCAUACUUCAUCCAACGAUUAAUUUUUUCUUCUAGUUUCCUUUAUGAUGCUUUCCACUAUGGAUAUGUCUAUUUGCAUCAUUUUUUCGUAGAAACAGUACCACCACAUCCUUUUAUCUCUCUUAAUUCAGUAUCUACAAGAUACAUAAAGAGUAAUCAUAAAAC
rnacentral:sRNA from 1 species